UCUAUUUACAUUUCGAUGAGCUUGGUGAAGUAGAAGACGACGAAAAAUAACGGCAAGAAGAAUCCAGAAGAUGACACUCUGUAGUCCAGUUAGCGAAAGCGAAAGUUUCCGGUAGAUCAUGAUAUUUUCGACAACAAACUUUCUAGAAAUUCGGCUUAAGUUUAGCGAGAUCAAAGGUGUUUUCUUCGCACUGCAGCAGAUCAGAGAGAAAGCUGAACAAGAUGGCCUGAAUAAGAAGGAGGAAAUGAUUUCUAGGAGGAGUAUGGGAGGCUAUAAAAAGAAUACCAAGAUUUAGUGCUGACUUGAGUCGUUAGCCCUAAGAUUUUGGUAAAGAGGUGGCAAACAAGCGCUCAUUACCACCAUUCUCCAUCAUUUCGAGGGUUUGGAGAUCCAGGAUGUUUUAUAUCAAGUGAAAAAGCCCCAUGUCUUGUUAUGGAGUGGGAGUUGUUUUGCUUUGAUUCUCUCUAAGGAUCCUUCCAAUGCGGAAAAGAACAUCAAUGUUAGUUAUAACGAAGUAGCUAAACAUAUA